rnacentral:lncRNA from 1 species
UCGAAACAACUAGAUCCAUACAGUUCUUAAUUCCUCGGUUAAAAUCCGAGUUGGAGAGGUCCUGUCCUCAAUCACUGAUCGUGCAUUCAAUACAUAAUAGCCUAUGAUCUAGCAGGAUCAAACACACACCACAUCCUAUCCUCUCUUGGCCCUCCUUAAUCACGGACGAUCCUGCAAUACAUAGAGGCUAAAAACAGAGGUGAUGAUUCAAGACUCGACCUCUCUAAUUAAAUCAUGAAUUAAUUAGGGAAGAUCCAAAAUCAAAUAACCAUGCCAUUGAUCAUUAUUUAUCAAAGACAAUCUAAUAAAUAUCUGUGGAGCAUCUCCAAACCUGAGUUCUCUCAAAUUACGGAACAUGCGUCACCACUUCGAUCGGGGGUCCCAAGCGGUUGAAGCAGCCCGAUCUCAUCCGGAGGCGGAACCGCAAGCGAACCGCGC